CGAGGACAAGAAACUGGCUCAGGAACACAAGGCAGACUAUAUUUUGCUCCUUUUAACACCUGAGUGCUCCAAUUUACAGCUUCCUGGGGCUAUUACCUUACUUACACCAUUGUUAAGUUUGGCCCUGAUCUCAUUGUUGUUGAAUGUGGCACCCCCACCCCACCCCAAAGAAUUUGUAAUUCACCUAGGACAUGCAAGCCAAAAGAUAUAAAAUGAUUUACUUUUUCCUGCGUCGUCAGGCCUCCAUAACCCCAUGAAGGGCCAGCAGCAGCCAAUGCCCCUCAAUGCUCACUUUCCACCUUUUAUAUUUUUUUUUAUUAAAAGUCCAUAAAGAUGCGCUGAUUUGUAUCAGCAGAAAUACAAACUGGGUCUGCAGCAGCGGAUCUCUUACACAACAAACCCAAUCUCCCAUUCUGAUAAAAUGUAUCCUUUCCUUCCUCCAAUGUGUCCAUUUCUAUUUGCUUUUAUUCCAGCUCUGUCUCUUCUCGCAUGUCUUCCAUCAUAUGUCUAUAUUUAUUUAUUUUAUUUAUUACAACAUUUAUAUCCCGCCCUUCUCACCCAACAGAGGAUUCAGGGCGGCUUACAAUAAAACACACAUAUAAAAAUUGUACAGUACAUUAUAAAUCAGAUUAAAAAUUAUUAGCUUACAUCAGCAUUCAUAUUAAACACAUUCUAAAAUACAGAUGGGCAUGUUCAAGUUCAAAAGACUGGGUCUGUCGAUUAAGUUCUGGUGUACAUAAUAAUAAUUAGCGCUGCUAGUUGUUGUUUGAAUAUAUCUACAUGCCUACCCAUAUGUAUGCACAUGCACAUGAGCAGAGCCCCAGCCAGAAUAUAGAAACAACAUUUUUAACCCUUUGAUAUGAUCUACCUUAUUCCCCUGUAUCCCUGUUUCUGAACUGUACUAAUUAAAUAUGAUUGCAGCAAGAAGCUUACCCCUUGCUGAUCCUACUGGGGAAUUUCCUGUGACAUCUGGGAUGGGCAGGUCAUGAGACAAAGGUGACAAUCAAGCUCCAUUGGGUACACAUGCUGGACAACAGACAAUUUCCUCUGUGAGAUCUGAUAAUUGUAAGCAGGUCCCUGCCCAGCUGAUUGCUUCCAUUGAGCUGACCAUGGAAACAGGAACUCCAGGUGUACACACAUACUGGAUCCCUUUGUCUGAGGCCCAAGGCUUGAUUGAACAUAACCAUCACCUUUUGUCUCAGGACACCUCACCCCCACCUUUCCCAGGAAACUGAUGCAUCACCCAACAUUAAGACAAAUACAAACAAAUCAGAGACUUAUUUGCAUUUCCUGAGGUAGACACAGACUUUCUAAGGCUCACCUCCUCCCAGGAGAGCUGUCCCUCAACCUGGUUUAGCAUAACACUCGCUGGGAAGGACCCUCCAUAACUGACGUCCUUACUCUAAAUUCAACCUCAUCAUAAGUAGACAAUCUAAACUCACGCAGUCUCAUAUGUUCAUAAAUGUAUGUAGAAAGCUCCAGAAAUAUCCAGUACUACCUGCAACAAGACAAUCAUUGUUUAAAUAAAAGGUUCUCCUUACUUCAUCUUUGUCCAGAACUCUUCUGCUUUGAUAAUCCACUAACUACUUCCCUACUUAUUGGGAGAGGGCCUGUAUCAUGGAACACAAUGUAAACGUUUGUUUGCUGAGAUCUGACAAUGGUCCGAUGGGAAUGAUUCCUGAUUUUGUGGAAAGUGAGAAUACCAGUCUUCACCAUAGCCACAGAAGAUAUACAUAGGCAUAAGUUGCAUCUACACAUGUGUACAUAACUAAAAGGUGCCUUUAAAUGCAACAAUCCUCUUCAGAAGUUAUAAAGUAUGGAGAACAAUAUAGAAUAGCAAACAUAAUUGCAGGAUGACCCAGUGCUGCAAGAAGAUCUUCACGUUCCUGUUCUUAAAGGCUAACAAAGGUCUCCUGACAAUUCAUUACCAAAUGGCUAUCCAUAAACAUGCAGGUACUAGCAUCAAUGCCAGAGCAUAUUUCUCCUUGCUUAGGGAAGGGAUUCAUGCCUCUCUAGAUUUCAUAACCUGUAAUUCAAAGUCAGUGUGGAUAAAGUGACCUUCAUCAGAAUUCCUGCUUAGAGUCUAAAAGCCCAGUACACACAAAGUUGCACAGACUGCAUACUUUCCGGAGUUCUGCCUGUCCUGCUGAAUGAUCCUUAAAGUUUGCAUAAGUCAACACUUUCUCCUGCUGCAUUAUUACCACCAGUGAGUACUGGCAGAGGCAUGGGAGCUAUUCUUACACACAGAGAAGCACUAACAGCUGGGAGGAGGGGAGCCCAUCUGGGAUUCAAGCAUAAGGUCUGUAUGCAUUCCUGCUGCUUUCAAAUGCUCCAUGUUGACAUUCCCGCUAACAUAUGCUUCACUAAUGAAAGGUAGAUUCUUUUCAAAGAGAGAGAAAUUGCUUUGUUUUGAAUGAUUUUCAUUUAAUGCAUCUUAAAUUUUGCUUAUUAUUCAUUUAAAGGAAGUUCUUCAAACCAGGAGAUCAUGGGGAGGAAAAUCAAUAGUCAGGAAAGGUCGGUUCCCUUUUGAAUACUGAAAACCUCUUGCCUCAUAUAUGCUCCAAACAUCUGGUCAUCCAAUUAAAGGCGACAUGCCAGACCUACACUCUCAAAAUCAGCAGUAGAACACCCAUAUCAUUGCCACAGUUGAAGGCUCAACCGCUAGUUCAACUAACUUCUCUAAAUAACAUAGAUGCAAAGAGAUGCUUCUGCAAGACAAUUUGUUUGACAUCCUCUUCAGAUGUCUUGAAAUUUUAACACAAACCUUUAUCUGAGUGUCUCAUUUCUUAUGGAUCUCACUGUAGAUUUUGGUUCAUGCACAGACUCCAUUAAAAGUUAAGUGCUAUUUGGGA